CCCACCUUGCAGAUGAAGCUGGGGCUAGAGAGUUGGCGAGACGAAGGUCACAGCACCUCGGCGGUGGCAGAGGCGGGAUUAGAGGCCAGACGAGGAGGAAAUAAGCCGAGAAAGCACGAGUUCCUCAUGGCCUACAAAAUCAGGGAAGGAGCAGAGUUCUUUAGCUUUCUUGCCAAACUAGAGCAUAAUAAAGCAAAACACCCACGUUUAAAAAUAUAGAUAUAUUUAUUUGUCAUUAGCAAAAGGAAGUUAAAUACUGAUAGAAGAUGCAAAUUUGUCCUUUCAUGCAUUUGUGGAGCAAAGUACUAACUUGUUCACUGUCAUUUCCCCUCACAAGGAGUUGAGCCCCUAGAUGACUCAGGCUAACCCUAAGAACCUACCUAGCCUUCUUAGAUAUUCCCAUCAAAGAACAGGUGGAGUGUACUAAGUAUUUCUGAAAAUUCUAAACCAAAUCAGCAAAAAUGGCCUGACUGUGGGAAGACUGUUCGUUCAAACUGCCUUAUUCCCAUCAUCUUGAUUUGACAGCUUCAUAAUAACCUUCCUGGAUAUAUUCCCUGUGGCACGCAAGCAAACCCGGCUUUACGUUUUUAAUAGAGGAAUUUAUUGUUUUAAAUGCGGACUGUAGAAUAGGUGUAGAAGUUGUUUUUCUUUUCCAAAAUGUAUCAGGCUCUAAAACGUCUGAAUAUGUAAUUCAUGGACAUCGUAAGGCUGACCUAUGCUACAGGUAUUCUGUGCCUUAUUAAACAACUGCAGAGGGCCAGGGCAGGAGAAUUGCUUA
rnacentral:lncRNA from 1 species